UGUAGUCAUAUGCUUGUCUCAAAGAUUAAGCCAUGCAUGUCUAAGUAUAAGCAAUUAUACCGCGAAACUGCGAAUGGCUCAUUAAAUCAGUUAUCGUUUAUUUGAUAGUACCUUACUACAUGGAUAACCGUGGUAAUUCUAGAGCUAAUACAUGCUAAAAAUCCCGACUUCGGAAGGGAUGUAUUUAUUAGAUUAAAAACCAAUGCCCUUCGGGGCUCUCUGGUGAUUCAUAAUAACUUCUCGAAUCGCACGGCCUUGCGCCGGCGAUGGUUCAUUCAAAUUUCUGCCCUAUCAACUUUCGACGGCUGGGUCUUGGCCAGCCAUGGUGACAACGGGUAACGGAGGGUUAGGGCUCGACCCCGGAGAAGGAGCCUGAGAAACGGCUACUACAUCCAAGGAAGGCAGCAGGCGCGCAAAUUACCCAAUCCCGACUCGGGGAGGUAGUGACAAUAAAUACUGAUACAGGGCUCCUUUGGGUCUUGUAAUUGGAAUGAGUACAAUUUAAAUCCCUUAACGAGGAACAAUUGGAGGGCAAGUCUGGUAAUCG
rnacentral:rRNA from 1 species